rnacentral:rRNA from 1 species
UACGUAGGGUGCGAGCGUUGUCCGGAAUUAUUGGGCGUAAAGAGCUUGUAGGCGGUUUGUCGCGUCUGCUGUGAAAAUCCGGGGCUCAACCCCGGACUUGCAGUGGGUACGGGCAGGCUAGAGUGUGGUAGGGGAGACUGGAAUUCCUGGUGUAGCGGUGAAAUGCGCAGAUAUCAGGAGGAACACCGAUGGCGAAGGCAGGGCUCUGGGCCACUACUGACGCUGAGAAGCGAAAGCAUGGGGAGCGAACAGG